rnacentral:tRNA from 14 species
UGCACAGUGGUGUAGUGGUUAGCACUUUUGCCUCACAGCAAGAAGGUUCUGGGUUUGAAUCCCGGUUCCAA